rnacentral:rRNA from 1 species
UAUCCUCAUAAGUUUGACAAUAAGAGGUACCAGUUAUUAUUUUAAUUUCACUUUAUAAUUUUCUGUUGAAUAAAUAGAAACAUUUUAAAGAAAAUGUCAUUAUUAAGUAAUUGGUGGCACAUAAUCGGAGGCCCCGACUGUUUACUAAAAACACAACACAGUGCAAUCAUUAAUAUGGUAGUAUACUGUGUGAAAUUUGCCCGAUGCCAUUAAUAUAAAAGCGGUCAUGGUAACCUGUGACUAAUUGAAAAUCUGGUUAAUAGCGGUCUUAACUAUGAGGAUCCUAAGGUAGCAAAAUAAAUUGGCCAUUAAAUGUGGUCCGGUAUCAAUAAUGUAACGAUGGCCUCACUGUCUCUACAACUUGCUCAGUGAAAUUGAAUUACGCGUGAAGAUGCGCGUUACCUCCAGGGGGACGGGAAGACCCUAU